CCUACGGGGGGCAGCAGUGGGGAAUAUUGCACAAUGGGGGAAACCCUGAUGCAGCGACGCCGCGUGAGUGAAGAAGUAUUUCGGUACGUAAAGCUCUAUCAGCAGGGAAGAAAAUGACGGUACCUGACUAAGAAGCCCCGGCUAACUACGUGCCAGCAGCCGCGGUAAUACGUAGGGGGCAAGCGUUAUCCGGAUUUACUGGGUGUAAAGGGAGCGUAGACGGCAGCGCAAGUCUGGAGUGAAAUCCCAUGGCUUAACCAUGGAACUGCUUUGGAAACUGUGCAGCUAGAGUGCAGGAGAGGUAAGCGGAAUUCCUAGUGUAGCGGUGAAAUGCGUAGAUAUUAGGCGGAACACCAGUGGCGAAGGCGGCUUACUGGACUGUACCUGACGUUGAGGCUCGAAAGCGUGGGGAGCAAACAGGAUUAGAUACCCGGGUAGUC
rnacentral:rRNA from 1 species